rnacentral:lncRNA from 13 species
CACCACUUCCUGUUAGGUUCAGCCAAUGGAAACACUUACAGGAAAUUAGAGAGCCGGGGGAGGAGGGGUGAAGCCACGGUAUUGGUAACUCCUCUCUGCGUUCACAGGCUUUUCCAGCAUGGGUUUUGUCUCUCCUGGAAGUCUGUUCUCACCAAGCAGAUCAGCCCUCAAAGGCCCCAGCUCCUGGACCCUGUAGCAUUGCCGAGGGAUAUUCAGCAUUUUUAUCAUAGACUGUGCAGCUUUCAGGAAGAAAAACAAACAUCUAAAGAGAAAACACACCAUGUUUGGUGGCAGUCUCCAGUUAUCGAGAUCUGGAUCACUGAAAGAGGUAACUCCAUAUUGGUUAUAAUGAAUUACAAGUGGUUUUUGCCAUCAUACCUACAUCCCAUCAAUUUUCAAUGCUCCUCAAAGAGCAAUCUUUCCAAAGCCAAAUCUGAUCACAUUUCCCAGCUUUAAAAUCUCUGAUUUUCAUAGCUUUCAGGACAAAGGCC